rnacentral:tRNA from 1 species
AGUUAAAAAGCUUUAAGUAAGCAGGUGCCUUGAAAUCACAAGAAAGAAGUUUAAGUCUUCUAUUAACUU